AUAAUAAAGAACAUGAUGUUGGUUCAGAUUAAACGCUAAAUAAGGACAUAACACAUGCAAAUCAAACGUUUAUUGUAUAAUAAUUAUAAUAAAUAUGUGGUGAACACGUGAGUAAUAUAUUAGGAAUUUAGAACUAUAGAAUAAGUUAAAUGCUUAAUAAAUAAUUAAUUAAUUAAUUAAUUAAUUAUAAAAGGAAUAUAUAAUAUAUAUAUUUGUCUAUAGUCAAGCCAAUAUUAGUUUAGGUAGUAGGUUAUAUUAAUAGGAUAACCUAGCCAACGAUCUAUAAUCAUUAAUGAAAGUUAUAAUGAUCACGUUGACUCUGAGAUAUAGUCAAUAUCUAAAUGAUACAGCAGUGGGGAAUAUUGAACAAUGAUCGAAAGAUUGAUUCAGUUACUUAUUAAGAUGAUAUAUACUAAAUAUAUUAAUAAAUAUUAAUAUAUAUAUAUAUAUAUAUAAAUUGAUUAAAAAUAAAGUCUAUAAAUAAUUAAAAUAAUGAUAUUAAUUACAUUCUUUAAUUGAAUGAUAUAAUAUUAAAAUAAUAUUAUAUUUUAAUAGUCCUAACCAAGAUUUGUGCCAGCAGCUGCGGUAAUACAAUGAGGGCUAGCGUUAAUCAUAAUGGUUUAAAGUAUCCGUAGAAUAAUAAUAAUAAUAUUAUUAGAGUUAAUAAAUUUAAUUAAAGAAUUAUGAUAGUAAAGAUGAAAUAAUAAUGAUAAUCAUAAGACUGGUAUGUGUGAAAAUAUUAAUUAAAUAUUAACUGACAUUGAGGGAUGAAAGCUAGAGUAGCAAUAUGGAUUCGAUACCCAAGUAGUUCUAGCUGUAAACUAUGAGCACCAUAAUUUGUUAAAUAAACAAAUUAUAAACGAAAGUGUAAGUGUUCCACCUGAAGAGUACUUUCGCAAGAAUGAAACUCAAGACAAUAGACGGUUACAGACUUAAGCAGUGGAGCAUGUUAUUUAAUUCGAUAAUCCACGAUAAAUCUUACCAUAUUUUGAAUAAUUAUAUUAUUAAUUUAAUAUAGUUACAGGCGUUACAUCGUUGUCUUCAGUUCGUGCCGCAAGGUCUUAGAUUAAGUUCAUUAACGAACAUAACUCCAUAUAUAUAUUAUUUAUAUUAUAUAUAAUUAUUUACAUUAAUUAUGUAAAUGAAAGGAAUUAAGACAAAUCAUGAUGAUCCUAAUAAUAUGGGUAAUAGACGUGCUAUAAAAAAAUAUUAAUAAAGUUAUAAUAAUUUUUAUUAAUUAAUUAAUAACAGAAAAUAUUUUAAUUUUUAAUACAUUUUUGUAUUAUAUAUAGUAUGGAUUAUAAUCUGAAACUCGAUUAUAUGAAAAAAGAAUUGCUAGUAAUACGUAAUUUAUCAUAUUACGGUGAAUAUCCUAACUGUUUCGCACUAAUCACUCAUCACGCGUUGAAACAUAAUACUAUCCUAAUAUAUAAUAAAUAUUAUAUAUAUUAUUAAUUAUUAUUAAUAGUUAUUAUAUUAUUUAUUAAUAUAAGAAGUAUUACGAAUUGAUGCGAAGUUGAAAUACAGUUACCGUAGGGGAACCUGCGGUGGGCUUAUAAAUAUC
rnacentral:ncRNA from 1 species